rnacentral:rRNA from 1 species
AGUGAACGCUGGCGGCGUGCUUAACACAUGCAAGUCGAACGAGAACGGAUUAUAGCUUGCUAUAAUUGUCAGCUAAGUGGCGCACGGGUGAGUAAUGUAUAGGUAAUAUGCCUCUUACUAAGGGAUAACAAAUGGAAACGUUUGCUAAUACCUUAUACUCCUUAUUAACAGAAGUUAAUAAGGGAAAGAUUUAUUGGUAAGAGAUUAGCCUGUAUUGUAUCAGUUAGUUGGUGGGGUAAUGGCUUACCAAGACUAUGACACAUAACUGGUUUGAGAGGAUGAUCAGUCACACUGGAAAUGAGACACGGUCCAGACUCCUACGGGAGGCAGCAGUGGGGAAUAUUGCACAAUGGACGGAAGUCUGAUGCAGCAACGCCGCGUGGAGGAUGACACAUUUCGGUGCGUAAACUCCUUUUAUAUGAGAAGAUAAUGACGGUAUUAUAUGAAUAAGCACCGGCUAACUCCGUGCCAGCAGCCGCCGUAA